GAUCAUGGCUCGGGAUGAACGCUGGCGGCGUGCCUAACACAUGCAAGUCGAGCGAAGCACUUUGCUUAGAUUCUUCGGAUGAAGAGGAUUGUGACUGAGCGGGCGGACGGGUGAGUAACGCGUGGGUAACCUGCCUCAUACAGGGGGAUAACAGUUAGAAAUGACUGCUAAUACCGCAUAAGACCACAGCACCGCAUGGUGCGGGGGGUAAAAACUCCGGUGGUAUGAGAUGGACCCGCG
rnacentral:rRNA from 1 species